AGAGUCUUGACGUUAUAUCAAUUUUGAACGCCAAGUGGAUGCUUUUUACACAUGGGUUUGAACGGCGCAACACGACUUUCAAGACCAGUGCUGACGAAGAACGGGUGGAGGCAAUGUAUCGAACGCGCCAGUAGCGGGGAUAACUACGCGAAAGUGUAGCUAAUACCGCAUACGAUUCUUCGGGGAAAGCGGGGGGACCUCGGGCCUCGCACUAUUAGAGCGGCCGAUAUCGGAUUAGCUAGUUGGUGGGGUAACGGCUCACCAAGGCGACGAUCCGUAGCUGGUUUGAGAGGACACCAGCCACACUGGGACUGGAGAUUACGGCCCAGACUCCUACGUGAGGCAGCAGUGGGGAAUUUUUGGACAAUGGGGGAAACCCUGAUCCAGCCAUCCCGGCGUGUGCGAUGAAGGCCUUUCGGGUUGUAAAAAGCACUUUGGCAGGAAGAAAACGCACGGGAUAAUACCCGUGCAACUGACGGUACCUGCAGAAUAAGCACCGGCUAACUACGUGCCAGCAGCCGCGGUAAUACGUAGGGUGCAAGUGUUAAUCGGAAUUACUGGGCGUAAAAGCGUGCGCAGGCGGGUUCGGAAAGAAAGAUGUGAAAUCCCAGAGCUUAACUUUGAACUGCAUUUUUAACUACCGAGCUAGAGUGUGUCAGAGGAGGUGGAAUUCGCGUGUAGCAGUGAAAUGCGGGAUAUGGAGAACACCGAUGGCGAAGGCAGCCUCCUGGGAUAACACUGACGCUCAUGCACGAAAGCGGGAGCAAACAGGAUUAGAUACCUGAUAUGUCCACGCCUAAACGAUGUCAGAAUUAGUUGUUGGGGCCUUCUGGGCCUUUGUAGCGCAGCUAACGCGUGAAGUUGACCACGGGGAGCACGGCCGGUAAGAUUAAACUCAAAGGAAUUGACGGGACCCGCACAAGCGGUGGAUGAUGUGGAUUAAUUCGAUGCAACGCGAAAAAACCUUACCUACUCCUUGAUAUGUUCAAAUCCCGAAGAGAUUUGGGAGUGCUCGCAAGAGAACCGGAACACAGGUGCUGCAUGGCUGUCGUCAGCUCGUGUCGUGAGAUGUUGCCAAGUCCCGCAACAGCGCAACCCUUUGUCAUUAGUUAUACGCGAAAGGGCACUCUAAUUUAGACUGCCGGUGACAAACCGGAGGAAGGUGGGGAUGACGUCAAGUCCUCAUGGCCUUUAUGGGUAGGGUUUCACACGUCAUACAAUGGUCGGGACAGAGGGUCGCCAACCCGCGAGGGGGAGCCAAUCCCAGAACCCGAUCGUAGUCCGGAUCGCAGUCUGCAACUCGACUGCGUGAAGUCGGAAUCGCCAGUAAUCGCGGAUCAGCAUGUCGCGGUGAAUACGUCUCUGGUCUUGUACACACCGCCCGUCACACCAUGGGAGGUCAGUACUAGCAGUUAGCCUAACCGUAAGGAGGGCGAUUACCACGGUAGGAUUCAUGACUGGGGUGAAGUCGUGGUCAAAG
rnacentral:rRNA from 1 species